rnacentral:misc_RNA from 1 species
CAAAACAACAAAACUCUAAAAUUAAUCUGUAACCCAAGCCCAUAAAAUCAAACCCAUACCUGACAAACACCUAACGCUAACCCAGAAAGACAAACAUCAAUAGUUCAUCCUCGCCGCUGUUCAACAUUCCAACACCAUUGGGAUUGAUGAUCUGUUGCACACGAGGUAGCGAAGUCAUCUUCAUAACAAAACAAAGAGUCAGAGAUUAGGUGAGAUAAUAGAUGAGUGAAGAGGCCUAAGAGAGUAGCACCCGUACUGGCAAGAUAGAGGGCGACGAUGACAAGGACCAUCGGCGUCUCACUUGCGCCAUGCCCCUAUGCCAACCA